UACGGAAGGCAGCAGUGGGGAAUAUUGCACAAUGGGCGCAAGCCUGAUGCAGUCAUGCCGCGUGUAUGAAGAAGGCCUUCGGGUUGUAAAGUACUUUCAGUCGUGAGGAAGGUGUUAAGGUUAAUAACCUUAGCAAUUGACGUUAGCGACAGAAGAAGCACCGGCUAACUCCGUGCCAGCAGCCGCGGUAAUACGGAGGGUGCGAGCGUUAAUCGGAAUUACUGGGCGUAAAGGGCACGCAGGCGGUUAAUUAAGUUGGAUGUGAAAUCCCCGGGCUUAACCUGGGAAUGGCAUUCAAGACUGGUUAGCUAGAGUCUUGUAGAGGGGGUAGAAUUCCAUGUGUAGCGGUGAAAUGCGUAGAGAUGUGGAGGAAUACCGGUGGCGAAAGGCGGCCCCUGGACAAAGGACUGACGCUCAUGUGCGAAAGCGUGGGGAGCAAACAGGAUUAGAUACC
rnacentral:rRNA from 1 species